UAGGGAAUCUUCCACAAUGGACGCAAGUCUGAUGGAGCAACGCCGCGUGAGUGAAGAAGGCUUUCGGGUCGUAAAACUCUGUUAUUGAAGAAGAACGUGUGUGACAGUAACUGGUCAUGCAGUGACGGUAUUCAAUCAGAAAGUCACGGCUAACUACGUGCCAGCAGCCGCGGUAAUACGUAGGUGGCAAGCGUUGUCCGGAUUUAUUGGGCGUAAAGCGAGUGCAGGCGGUCUUUCAUUGAUCUGAUGUGAAAGCCUUCGGCUUAACCGAAGAAGGGCAUCGGAAACUGGAGACUUGAGUGCAGAAGAGGAG
rnacentral:rRNA from 1 species